rnacentral:rRNA from 1 species
GACGAACGCUGGCGGCGUGCCUAAUACAUGCAAGUCGAACGCAGUGGCGGACGGGUGAGUAACACGUGGGUAACUACCCAUCAGAGGGGGAUAACACUUGGAAACGAUCGCUAAUACCGCAUACUGGGAGAUGGACCUGCGUUGUAUUAGCUAGUUGGUGGGGUAAAGUGUCACCAAGGCGACGAUACAUAGCCGACCUGGAGGGGUGAACCGGCACACUGGGACUGGGACACGGCCCAGACUCCGACGGGAGGCAGCAGUAGGGAAUCUUCGGCAAUGGACGGAAGGCUGACCGAGCAACGCCGCGUGAGUGAAGAAGGUUUUCGGAGCGUAAAGCUCUGUUGUUAGGGAAGCGGUAACCAAACAGAAAGGGACGGCUAACUACGUGCCAGCCGCCGCGGUAAUAC